rnacentral:rRNA from 1 species
AUAUCAAUAAGCGGAGGAAAAGAAACUAACAAGGAUUCCCCUAGUAACUGCGAGUGAAGCGGGAAAAGCUCAAAUUUAAAAUCUGGUAGUCUUUGGCUGCCCGAGUUGUAAUCUAGAGAAGUCGUUAUCCGCGCUGGACCGUGCAUAAGUCUCCUGGAAUGGAGCGUCAUAGAGGGUGAGAAUCCCGUCUUUGGCACGGACCCCCAGGGCUUCUGCGAUGCGCUCUCGAAGAGUCGAGUUGUUUGGGAAUGCAGCUCAAAAUGGGUGGUGAACUCCAUCUAAAGCUAAAUAUUGGCGAGAGACCGAUAGCGAACAAGUACCGUGAGGGAAAGAUGAAAAGCACUUUGGAAAGAGAGUGAAACAGUAC